AUUGAACGCUAGCGGGAUGCUUUACACAUGCAAGUCGAACGAGUGGCGGACGGGUGAGUAAUAUAUCGGAACGUGCCCAGUAGCGGGGGCUAACUACUCGAAAGAGUGGCUAAUACCGCAUACUCUUGGAGCGGCCGAUAUCGGAUUAGCUAGUUGGGUGGGUAAAGGCUCACAAAGGCAACGAUCCGUAGCUGGUUUGAGAGGAUGACCAGCCACACUGGGAAUGAGAAACGGCCCAGACUCCUACGGGAGGCAGAAGUGGGGAAUAUGGGACAAUGGGGGAAACCCUGAGCCAGACAUCCCGCGUGUAUGAGAAGGCCUUCGGGUUGUAAAGUACUGUUGGCAGAGAAGCGGUAUCUGCAGAAUAAGCACCGGCUAACUACGUGCCAGCAGCCGCGGUAAUUC
rnacentral:rRNA from 1 species